UGCUCUCACUUUCUAUGUGGAGAGAAUAUAAAAGAAAAUGUUUCUUUAACAAUAAAUUUUUGUCAAUCUUUUGACAACAUCAGGUGACUGGUGUGGAUUGGUCUGUUUGAAAUGUUUUUUUAACAAGUAUAAUGUGAUAUAAGGGUCUUUUGGAAAGGGAAAAGUUUCGCAAUUUCAUUUGAGAAAACCCCUCUGCUUUGCAUAUUCUUCGUCUCGUGAACACCAUCAUUGCUCUCACUUUCUCUGUAUACUGAAGCUCUCACUCUCUCUCCCUCGUGUAUUUGUCUCGCUCUUGCUCUCCCCAUCGCCGAUGAAGUUGGUCCCAUUACCGUUCUCCGUCUUCUCUGCCAGCAUUUUCCCCUUUCUUCCUUUCUCUCUCUUUUCGUUUGUGUGCCGCCAUUUUCCCAUUUUGUCCCUCUCACAAUUUACCUUUGCUUUCUCAUCCAUUGCGAGCUCGAAGGUGACCUUCCCCAAUGUUGCUCCACCAGCGUUGUAGCAUUCUGUCUCUCCGCCUCUCUCGCACUCUUCAUCAACGAGUAAAUGUGUCUUCUUUCUCAAAAGUUUGAAUUCGCAGUGUUAAGGAAGUAACAAAUGACAUUAAAAAGAUUUUGGAGCUGAUGGAGUCUGGGAACACUGACUACAACUUGCGUUUUCACACCCUUGAAACGACCAUCGAUGAUAUUGUGAAGAACACUAUUGAUGCCUCGUCAAGUUCAACCGUGAAGGCCCCUUCGUUUUAGGUGCAUAAUGUGAAAAUCGAUUUUUCGUGCUUUGAUGGUUCCAACGUAUUGCAGUAGAUUUUCAAGGCGGAACAAUUUUUCGAUUAUUACAAUACACUAGAUUGAUGAAUCA